rnacentral:rRNA from 1 species
UAAGGGCGCACGGUGGAUGCCUUGGCACUAGGAGCCGAUGAAGGACGGGACUAACACCGAUAUGCUUUGGGGAGCUGUACGUAAGCUAUGAUCCAGAGAUUUCCGAAUGGGGGAACCCAACAUCUUUAAUAGGAUGUUACGAUUGUGUGAAUACAUAGCACAUUCGAGGUAGACGCAGAGAACUGAAACAUCUAAGUACCUGCAGGAAGAGAAAGAAAAUUCGAUUCCCUGAGUAGCGGCGAGCGAAACGGGAAAAGCCCAAACCAGCAAGCUUGCUUGUUGGGGUUGUAGGACUCCAAUAUGGUAGUUCUUUCAGAUAGUCGAAUGACUUGGAAAAGUCAGUCAAAGAGGGUAAAAACCCCGUAGACGAAAUGUGGAAGACACCUAGGAGGAUCCUGAGUACGGCGGAACACGAGAAAUUCCGUCGGAAUCCGGGAGGACCAUCUCCCAAGGCUAAAUACUCCCUAGUGACCGAUAGUGAACCAGUACCGUGAGGGAAAGGUGAAAAGCACCCCGGAAGGGGAGUGAAAUAGAACCUGAAACCGUGUGCCUACAACAAGUCAAAGCCCGUUAAUGGGUGAUGGCGUGCCUUUUGUAGAAUGAACCGGCGAGUUACGAUUGCAUGCGAGGUUAAGUUGAAGAGACGGAGCCGCAGCGAAAGCGAGUCUGAAUAGGGCGUUUGAGUAUGUAGUCGUAGACCCGAAACCAUGUGAUCUACCCAUGUCCAGGUUGAAGGUGCGGUAAAACGCACUGGAGGACCGAACCCACGUACGUUGAAAAGUGCGGGGAUGAGGUGUGGGUAGCGGAGAAAUUCCAAACGAACUUGGAGAUAGCUGGUUCUCUCCGAAAUAGCUUUAGGGCUAGCCUCGGAAUUGAGAAUGAUGGAGGUAGAGCACUGUUUGGACUAGGGGCCCAUCUCGGGUUACCGAAUUCAGAUAAACUCCGAAUGCCAUUCAUUCAUAUCCGGGAGUCAGACUGUGAGUGAUAAGAUCCAUAGUCGAAAGGGAAACAGCCCAGACCACCAGCUAAGGUCCCAAAAUAUAUGUUAAGUGGAAAAGGAUGUGGGGUUGCACAGACAACUAGGAUGUUGGCUUAGAAGCAGCCACCAUUUAAAGAGUGCGUAAUAGCUCACUAGUCGAGUGACCCUGCGCCGAAAAUGUACCGGGGCUAAACAUAUUACCGAAGCUGUGGAGUACACCUUUAGGUGUAUUGGUAGGAGAGCGUUCUAAGGGCGUUGAAGGCAGAUCGUGAGGACUGCUGGAGCGCUUAGAAGUGAGAAUGCCGGU